rnacentral:rRNA from 1 species
CAGGUAGGGAUACCCGCUGAACUUAA